rnacentral:rRNA from 1 species
GAUGAACGCUAGCGGGAGGCCUAACACAUGCAAGCCGAGCGGUAUUUGUUCUUCGGAACAGAGAGAGCGGCGCACGGGUGCGGAACACGUGUGCAACCUGCCUUUAUCUGGGGGAUAGCCUUUCGAAAGGAAGAUUAAUACCCCAUAAUAUAUUGAGUGGCAUCACUUGAUAUUGAAAACUCCGGUGGAUAGAGAUGGGCACGCGCAAGAUUAGAUAGUUGGUGAGGUAACGGCUCACCAAGUCAAUGAUCUUUAGGGGGCCUGAGAGGGUGAUCCCCCACACUGGUACUGAGACACGGACCAGACUCCUACGGGAGGCAGCAGUGAGGAAUAUUGAACAAUGGGUUAGCGCCUGAUCCAGCCAUCCCGCGUGAAGGACGACGGCCCUAUGGGUUGUAAACUUCUUUUGUAUAGGGAUAAACCUACUCUCGUGAGAGUAGCUGAAGGUACUAUACGAAUAAGCACCGGCUAACUCCGUG